GCGAGGUAAUGGCUCACCAAGGCGACGACGGGUAGCCGGCCUGAGAGGGUGACCGGCCACACUGGGACUGAGACACGGCCCAGACUCCUACGGGAGGCAGCAGUGGGGAAUAUUGCACAAUGGGCGCAAGCCUGAUGCAGCGACGCCGCGUGAGGGAUGAAGGCCUUCGGGUUGUAAACCUCUUUCAGUAGGGAAGAAGCGAAAGUGACGGUACCUGCAGAAGAAGCGCCGGCUAACUACGUGCCAGCAGCCGCGGUAAUACGUAGGGCGCAAGCGUUAUCCGGAAUUAUUGGGCGUAAAGAGCUCGUAGGCGGUUUGUCGCGUCUGCCGUGAAAGUCCGGGGCUUAACUCCGGAUCUGCGGUGGGUACGGGCAGACUUGAGUGAUGUAGGGGAGACUGGAAUUCCUGGUGUAGCGGUGAAAUGCGCAGAUAUCAGGAGGAACACCGAUGGCGAAGGCAGGUCUCUGGGCAUUAACUGACGCUGAGGAGCGAAAGCAUGGGGAGCGAACAGGAUUAGAUACCCUGGUAGUCCAUGCCGUAAACGUUGGGCACUAGGUGUGGGGGACAUUCCACGUUUUCCGCGCCGUAGCUAACGCAUUAAGUG
rnacentral:rRNA from 1 species